UUUUUUUUUAGGUUUUUGUUUGUGGCUCUCGAACUCGCCUGAUCCACAAAUUCGGCUUUGACCUUUAUAUCUCCUCCUUGGCUUCUGUUUAUGUCUCUGACCUGAUCAACUUCAAUUGAGCUUGAAAGAUUGAGAAACAGAAGGUUGGAGGAUUGGAUGAUCAAGUAUUAACCCAUUUUGAAAGAAAAGGUAAACCAUGAAAAUCCCAAAGUGAUAUCCCAUGACCUACAACUAUUUUCUUAUCGGUCAAAUCAUUAUUGGAAGCCUACUCGGAGUCUCCAUCUCUUGGAAGAGUUGUAUUAAUUUGCGUUUGGUUGGAAGGGCUACAGAGAUUUGAUUCAAAUUGGUGGAUUUGGAUAACUCAAUUUCAAUUAGAGAAAGACGAAGAGAAGAACUGGAUUCAUAUCUGAGGAUUUGGCAUCACUUUGAAAGAAUUGCUGAAAAAAGAAGAGUUCAGCAAUGAAUACUUUGAGGUUUGUAAUUCUAUGUUUCAGGUAAAUUGGAGAUUUUGAAUUAAGUUCGCUCAAUAUAUUCUAUGUUUCUAAUCUCUCAUUUGUUUACCCAAUUCUACUUUUGGAUUUGAUUCUUGACAGACGGGAUGUUGUGAUGAUGUGUAAUAAUUUUAGUAUUCUUUUUUUUUUUUUUUGAAUUUGGGAAAUCAAAUUAUCCAAUGGAAAUAAACUGUUACUUUACAGUAUGUCAUCAACUUUAGAAUGAUAACUAUGAAUGCCUAAGUUAUGAUUAAUGCCUC